rnacentral:rRNA from 1 species
AUGAACGCUAGCUACAGGCUUAACACAUGCAAGUCGAGGGGCAGCAUGGUCUUAGCUUGCUAAGGCCGAUGGCGACCGGCGCACGGGUGAGUAACACGUAUCCAACCUGCCGUCUACUCUUGGACAGCCUUCUGAAAGGAAGAUUAAUACAAGAUGGCAUCAUGAGUCCGCAUGUUCACAUGAUUAAAGGUAUUCCGGUAGACGAUGGGGAUGCGUUCCAUUAGAUAGUAGGCGGGGUAACGGCCCACCUAGUCUUCGAUGGAUAGGGGUUCUGAGAGGAAGGUCCCCCACAUUGGAACUGAGACACGGUCCAAACUCCUACGGGAGGCAGCAGUGAGGAAUAUUGGUCAAUGGGCGAGAGCCUGAACCAGCCAAGUAGCGUGAAGGAUGACUGCCCUAUGGGUUGUAAACUUCUUUUAUAAAGGAAUAAAGUCGGGUAUGGAUACCCGUUUGCAUGUACUUUAUGAAUAAGGAUCGGCUAACUCCGUGCCAGCAGCCGCGGUAAUACGGAGGAUCCGAGCGUUAUCCGGAUUUAUUGGGUUUAAAGGGAGCGUAGAUGGAUGUUUAAGUCAGUUGUGAAAGUUUGCGGCUCAACCGUAAAAUUGCAGUUGAUACUGGAUAUCUUGAGUGCAGUUGAGGCAGGCGGAAUUCGUGGUGUAGCGGUGAAAUGCUUAGAGAUCAUACAGAACACCGAUUGCGAAGGCAGCUUACCAAACUAUAUCUGACGUUGAGGCACGAAAGCGUGGGGAGCAAACAGGAUUAGAUACCCUGGUAGUCCACACGGUAAACGAUGAAUACUCGCUGUUUGCGAUAUACUGCAAGCGGCCAAGCGAAAGCGUUAAGUAUUCCACCUGGGGAGUACGCCGGCAACGGUGAAACUCAAAGGAAUUGACGGGGGCCCGCACAAGCGGAGGAACAUGUGGUUUAAUUCGAUGAUACGCGAGGAACCUUACCCGGGCUUAAAUUGCAGAUGAAUUACGGUGAAAGCCGUAAGCCGCAAGGCAUCUGUGAAGGUGCUGCAUGGUUGUCGUCAGCUCGUGCCGUGAGGUGUCGGCUUAAGUGCCAUAACGAGCGCAACCCUUGUUGUCAGUUACUAACAGGUUCCGCUGAGGACUCUGACAAGACUGCCAUCGUAAGAUGUGAGGAAGGUGGGGAUGACGUCAAAUCAGCACGGCCCUUACGUCCGGGGCUACACACGUGUUACAAUGGGGGGUACAGAGGGCCGCUACCACGCGAGUGGAUGCCAAUCCCCAAAACCUCUCUCAGUUCGGACUGGAGUCUGCAACCCGACUCCACGAAGCUGGAUUCGCUAGUAAUCGCGCAUCAGCCACGGCGCGGUGAAUACGUUCCCGGGCCUUGUACACACCGCCCGUCAAGCCAUGGGAGCCGGGGGUACCUGAAGUGCGUAACCGCGAGGAGCGCCCUAGGGUAAAACUGGUGACUGGGGCU